AAGCGGCUGGUGAGAUAGAGUAUGUUGAAGGUGAUGAUAUCGAGAUGGGUGACAUGGACGAUAUGGAAGAUUUUGAAGGCUUUGGUGAUGAAGAUGAUGAUGGAGAUGAAGAUGAUGAUUUGGAUGAGCCAGCAACAAAGAAGCCCAAGUUACCAGGCUCCGAUUCAAGGUCAAAGAUUGGGCGCAAGUCUACGAAGGUUAUCACAGAGGUGGAAGAAGACGAGGACAGGGGUAGCAGGCAAAGGACGCGGAUGUGAUUCACCGGGCGCGGCUUCAGUAACGUGCUCGGCGUUGAUGAUAUGGUGUACUUUAGAUAAUUUUGCCUCUUAUCGUCUGAUGGUAAUCUGUAGAAUUCAUAUUUUGGUUAUUUUGCGGCCAAU